rnacentral:rRNA from 1 species
GAGGAAUAUUGGUCAAUGGGCGAGAGCCUGAACCAGCCAAGUAGCGUGCAGGAUGACGGCCCUCCGGGUUGUAAACUGCUUUUAGUUGGGAAUAAAAAAGGGACUUGUCCCUUCUUGUAUGUACCUUCAGAAAAAGGACCGGCUAAUUCCGUGCCAGCAGCCGCGGUAAUACGGAAGGUCCAGGCGUUAUCCGGAUUUAUUGGGUUUAAAGGGAGCGUAGGCGGAUUGUUAAGUCAGCGGUUAAAGGGUGUGGCUCAACCAUGCAUUGCCGUUGAAACUGGCGAUCUUGAGUGCAGACAGGGAUGCCGGAAUUCGUGGUGUAGCGGUGAAAUGCUUAGAUAUCACGAAGAACUCCGAUCGCGAAGGCAGGUGUCCGGGCUGCAACUGACGCUGAGGCUCGAAAGUGUGGGUAUCAAACAGGAUUAGAUACCCUGGUAGUCCACACAGUAAACGAUGUAUACUCGCGGUUUGCGAUAGACAGUAAGCCGCCAAGCGAAAGCAUUAAGUAUACCACCUGGGGAGUACGCCGGCAACGGUG